GGCCGCGGGAAUUCCUUUCAUGCCUAACACAUGCAAGUCGAGCGGUAGAGAGAAUCUUGCUUCUCUUGAGAGCGGCGGACGGGUGAGUAAUGCCUAGGAAUCUGCCUGGUAGUGGGGGAUAACGUUCGGAAACGGACGCUAAUACCGCAUACGUCCUACGGGAGAAAGCAGGGGACCUUCGGGCCUUGCGCUAUCAGAUGAGCCUAGGUCGGAUUAGCUAGUUGGUGAGGUAAUGGCUCACCAAGGCGACGAUCCGUAACUGGUCUGAGAGGAUGAUCAGUCACACUGGAACUGAGACACGGUCCAGACUCCUACGGGAGGCAGCAGUGGGGAAUAUUGGACAAUGGGCGAAAGCCUGAUCCAGCCAUGCCGCGUGUGUGAAGAAGGUCUUCGGAUUGUAAAGCACUUUAAGUUGGGAGGAAGGGCAGUUACCUAAUACGUGAUUGUUUUGACGUUACCGACAGAAUAAGCACCGGCUAACUCUGUGCCAGCAGCCGCGGUAAUACAGAGGGUGCAAGCGUUAAUCGGAAUUACUGGGCGUAAAGCGCGCGUAGGUGGUUAGUUAAGUUGGAUGUGAAAUCCCCUGGCUCAACCUGGGAACUGCAUUCAAAACUGACUGACUAGAGUAUGGUAAAGGGUGGUGGAAUUUCCUG
rnacentral:rRNA from 1 species